rnacentral:rRNA from 1 species
UUCGGCUCGUAAAACUCUGUUGUUAAAGAAGAACAUAUCUGAGAGUAACUGUUCAGGUAUUGACGGUAUUUAACCAGAAAGCCACGGCUAACUACGUGCCAGCAGCCGCGGUAAUACGUAGGUGGCAAGCGUUGUCCGGAUUUAUUGGGCGUAAAGCGAGCGCAGGCGGUUUUUUAAGUCUGAUGUGAAAGCCUUCGGCUCAACCGAAGAAGUGCAUCGGAAACUGGGAAACUUGAGUGCAGAAGAGGACAGUGGAACUCCAUGUGUAGCG